AGUAGAUGGACCAAGCUAUCAUAAAGACAGGACUAGACCACAACAGAUACAGACAUCACUUCUGGAGAUACCAGGAGUCCUCUAGCUAUAGAAUGAAGCACUAUUGUUGCGUUGUCCCUGAGUGCUUAGCUGUCCUGCUUUGUGCCACAUGAAACCCAUGCCUUGGUCUCGCCUCAGUCCACCAGUGCCAGCAUCCGUCCACCAGUGCCUGCCUUGAUCCAGCCUCUGUCCAGCCUUGGUCCAGCGAACGGUCCAGCCUCAGUCCAGUCUUGGUCCAGCCUCGGUCCAGCAAUGGUUCAGCCUCGGUCCAGCCUCGGUCCAGCCUCGGUCCACCAGUGCCAGCCUCGGUCCACCAGUGCCAGCCUCGGUCCACCAGUGCCAGCCUCAGUCCAGCCUUGGUCCACUAGUGCCUCCCUCGUUCCAGCCUCGGUCCACCAGUGCCAGACUCAGUCCAGCCUUGGUCCAGCCUCGGUCCACUAGUGCCAGUCACAGAACACACACACAAACACACCGUCCUAACGAGAGGUGUGUGUGUGACUGGUUGAGGGUUUUUCAACUAGCGGGUAUAUUCUGGGCUCCGUUGUGGACAGUUGAGAACCCUGACUGCUACAGGUACGUUGUGGACAGUUGAGAACCCUGACUGCUACAGGUACGUUGUGGACAGUUGAGAACCCUGACUGCUACAGGUACGUUGUGGACAGUUGAGAACCCUGACUGCUACAGGUACGUUGUGGACAGUUGAGAACCCUGACUGCUACAGGUACGUUGUGCCAAACUGGAUCAGAAUGUUCCAGAUGUUGGAACAUUGAUGCGGGGACUUGCUUCCAUUCAGCCACAAACUGGAUCAGAAUGUUCCAGAUGUUGGAACAUUGAUGCGGGGACUUGCUUCCAUUCAGCCACAAACUGGAUCAGAAUGUUCCCAGAUGUUGGAACAUUGAUGCGGGGACUUGCUUCCAUUCAGCCACAAACUGGAUCAGAAUGUUCCAGAUGUUGGAACAUUGAUGCGGGGACUUGCUUCCAUUCAGCCACAAACUGGAUCAGAAUGUUCCCAGAUGUUGGAACAUUGAUGCGGGGACUUGCUUCCAUUCAGCCACAAACUGGAUCAGAAUGUUCCAGAUGUUGGAACAUUGAUGCGGGGACUUGCUUCCAUUCAGCCACAAACUGGAUCAGAAUGUUCCAGAUGUUGGAACAUUGAUGCGGGGACUUGCUUCCAUUCAGCCACAAACUGGAUCAGAAUGUUCCAGAUGUUGGAACAUUGAUGCGGGGACUUGCUUCCAUUCAGCCACAAACUGGAUCAGAACAUCUGUUGCUUUCUCAGUCAGUUUCUCAGCCUCAAAUCAUUUUGCGUCAAUCAGCGUA